CUUAAUUAUAUGUCAUGAAAAGGUUCAAGUUUGGGGUUGUCCGGGGGAAAAUUGAAAAAGCAAGUGAAAGGCAUUGAGCUCAAUUGUUGUAAAAAGAAAAAUUCAUGAGAAAAAGAAAAGAAAAGACGAAAAGCAUGAAGAUGAGCUCAAUGAAAAAGAAAAGAAAAGGGAAGAAGUUGGGAAUGAGAAAUUUUGGUGAGAGAGUUGUGCGUAAAUGUUGAAUAUUUUGUU
rnacentral:lncRNA from 1 species